rnacentral:snoRNA from 1 species
GAAUUGAUGAUGAUUUCCAAUAAAUCAAUCUUUGGAAAGUUGAAGAAAAUGAGUGAUAACAGUACAGCCGCUCUCCCUGAAACUGAGGUCC